ACUUAAACCUAGUUUAAUUAUGACUCUAUUUUCUACUCUCCUAUUUGUAGUAGUUUGAUGUUUUACAAUACAAGGCUCUUGGUUGGGUUUAUUCGAAGGUAAAAUCUGCUAUGCCCAAAUAUCCAUUCAUCUUCAUCCAAUUGCCGGCGAAGCAUAAUUGAAAAUUUGAAAUACUAUAAAACCCCAAUUCAAUUCAACAUUUUGCAUCGAAGCUUUUUCAACAAUGUCGCGCUCUAUUGAUUUCAUCUCCAAAACCAUUCCUGGAUAUGGGCCCUCUGAUAGCAGUCCUCUACCCUGCUCUGGAAUUUCUGGGAAAGCACUGUCCUUAUCACAUAGAUCUUGUCGUGAACACAAGCUCGUUUCAGAUGUCAAGUUUUUUCCUUUGAGAUGUGUUUCUAGGUACACAUCUUCUGUGUGUAAUGCAAGUUCUAGCAACUAUAGGAGAAACCCGGAUUUCCCUAAUAAUCAAAGAAGGCAUGGAUACUCCCGCAAUAGGAAUAGGCAAAAUGAAACAAGAGAAGAGUGUGAUGACCAUGAAGAAUUCGAAACUCUCUCUUCCAAAAACGGACCACUUCUUUCUGCAUCAAACCAUAAAUAUCAGGCAACUGCAACUACUGGUCCUAGAGAAAAGGAAAUUGUUGAAUUAUUCCGUAAGGUGCAGGCCCAACUACGUGAAAGAGCAGCAAUGAAGGAAGGAAAGAAAAUUGAGGAGUCUCAGACAAAAAGCAAAGAGAGUGAAACUGUUGAUUCUCUACUCAAGCUUUUGAGGAAACACUCAGUUCAGCAAGGGAAGAAGAGCUACACCACCGCCAAUUGCAGGGACUUCAUCCUGGAUCAGGAUGAACAGACUGCCCCGUCGACAGAGGAAGGAAGCACAAGCGUCUCAUACUCAAACUCCACUAGUAGCGUGAAGCAUGAGGCGCAAGAAUCCCCAAUCCCACGUCUCACCCGACCAAAGUCAAACUUCCGGAAAAGAUCACCAGUCCCUGAAAUCAAAUUCCAGCCUGUUUAUGCCGAAGACUCUAUCUCGGAGGACACUGUGGACACUGAAAGAAAGUGGAGUCGUGCGGAACCAGAGGCCCAAGACGACAUCCAGGUUGUUGAAUAUGAUUCAGAAUCUGAAGUCGAGCCAUUCACUUCAGAAAUAGAUGCUUUUGAUGAAACUUCAGGGAUUGUUGAAACGGAGAAUGAAGAUGUAGCAAAAGAAGAUGACGUGGACGAGGCCAUCAGUUUGAACGGAAUGAAGCUGGCUGAAUUGAGAGCCCUUGCCAAGUCGCGUGGCAUGAAAGGAUUCUCAAAGUUGAAAAAGAGUGAACUGAUUGAGUUGCUGAGUGGUGGAUCAGUAUGAUUACCGAUCACGUAAAGACACGAUGGAGGUUUUGCUUUUGCUCUCUCUUUUCUUGUUAGGUCAAGUGCACCUACAGAUGCUUGGGGAUAAGGCGGAUGAUGUAUGUCAAGAUGCGCCUUAAAGGGCGGCCGUGUGCUUCCCAGAUGUGAUAAGAGAGACCACUAUCACGUCGUCCAUCUCGAUCCAAAAAUGUUUCGGAGUGUUGUAGAAGAUUUGAUAGUAAUAAGAUAAUGAUCGGAUAGACAAGAUGGAAGUUCACCCAACUUGAACGAAUUCAAGAACGUAGUUUGUAGAAUGAUGCUACAUGAAUGUGAACAUUAAUUUGAUAAGUUUUAAAUUUAUAGUGUCCAUUCAGUACACGGAAUUGGAAUUAAAUUUGAAUUAGAA